rnacentral:rRNA from 1 species
UACGAAGGGUGCAAGCGUUAAUCGGAAUUACUGGGCGUAAAGCGUGCGCAGGCGGUGCUGUAAGACAGGCGUGAAAUCCCCGGGCUUAACCUGGGAAUGGCGCUUGUGACUGCAGUGCUGGAGUGCGGCAGAGGGGGAUGGAAUUCCGCGUGUAGCAGUGAAAUGCGUAGAUAUGCGGAGGAACACCAAUGGCGAAGGCAAUCCCCUGGGCCUGUACUGACGCUCAGGUGCGAAAGCGUGGGGAGCAAACAGG